CUUGAACUCCUAUAAGAGGUCCAGCCUGCCCAGUGACUUUGUUCAACGGCCGCGGUAUCCUAACCGUGCGAAGGUAGCGUAAUCACUUGUCUUUUAAAUGAGGACUUGUAUGAAUGGCAUCACGAGGGUUAUACUGUCUCCUUUUUCUAAUCAGUGAAACUAAUCUUCCCGUGAAGAAGCGGGAAUAAAUAUAUAAGACGAGAAGACCCUAUGGAGCUUUAAACUUAAUAACAAAUACUAACCUUACUUCAACUUCCAGAAUAUUAAUCUUAAUUUUAGUAUCAUGUUUAUUAGUUUUAGGUUGGGGUGACCGCGGAGUAAAAAUUAACCUCCAUAUUGAAUAGGACUUGUCCUUGAGCUAAGAACUACAGCCCUAAGCACCAAUAAAUUGACAUUAAUUGACCCAAUAUUUUGAUCAACGAAC
rnacentral:rRNA from 1 species